GCAAUGCACACUCACGGAAACCAGCCUGGGCCCGCAUGGACAAGCCAAGAUGGCCGCCACGUCUAUCGUAAGAUGGAGUGUAGCGGCCGCACACCCUGAGCAGCGGUUGUGUGCACCUCUGAGGGUCGCACAAUGGCGAUGAUGGCAGGCAGCGCAACCUCUCCGUUCCCCCUGACCACCGGCAACAGAGGGUGACAGCUCAUCACUCAAGCUGGGAGACAUCUCAGCUCAUUGACAGGAGCACUGUCCACACCACACAAGGCUUCACCCUCCACAGUUUAUGACCGCACUGGUGGAUAUAUG